GCCAUGUUCGAGCUGGUCACUUCCGAGGCGUCCUACUACAAGAGUCUGAACCUGCUCGUGUCCCACUUCAUGGAGAACGAGCGGAUAAGGAAGAUCCUGCACCCGUCUGAGGCGCACAUCCUCUUCUCCAAUGUCCUGGACGUGCUGGCCGUCAGUGAGCGGUUCCUCCUGGAGCUGGAGCACCGGAUGGAGGAGAACAUCGUCAUCUCUGACGUGUGUGACAUCGUGUACCGUUAUGCGGCCGACCACUUCUCUGUCUACAUCACCUACGUCAGCAAUCAGACCUACCAGGAGCGGACCUAUAAGCAGCUGCU
rnacentral:sRNA from 1 species